UGAUGUUGUUACUGCUUCAGUCACGAAAGCCCACAUGUGAACUUGGAGAGAAUGCCACCUCACGAACAAAGACAGAGAUGAUGUUGUUACUGCUUCAGUCACGAAAGCCCACAUGUGAACUUGGAGAGAAUGCCACCUCACGAACAAAG